CGGCAUGCUUAACACAUGCAAGUCGAACGAAGUCUUCGGACUUAGUGGCGCACGGGUGAGUAACGCGUGGGAACCUGCCCUGAAGUGGGGAAUAACCACUGGAAACGGUGGCUAAUACCGCAUACGCCCUGAGGGGCAAAGGCUUCGGCCGCUUUAGGAUGGGCCCACGUCCGAUUAGCUUGUUGGUGGGGUAAUGGCCUACCAAGGCGACGAUCGGUAGCUGGUCUGAGAGGAUGAUCAGCCACACUGGGACUGAGACACGGCCCAGACUCC
rnacentral:rRNA from 1 species